rnacentral:lncRNA from 1 species
GGGUCACACACAUUAGAGGUUCCUAUCUGAUCUGAUGGCUGAUGAAGAGUUCUAAUGCUCGUGGACUAUGAGUCCUAUAUGUCUGAAACUCUGUGAUCGAGAAUCAAGAUUCUCUGAUCAUGAGUCCCACAUAUUUUGGGUAUCGGGGUCAAGAGUCCCACUAGUUUCGGACUCUUCGAUCAGGGUUACAUAUCGAUGAAUUCUGAUGUCCGAUUACCCAUCAGAUUUGGACUCAAUAUUUAUGAGAGAUUUAAUUAGUGAUUUGAUC